GCCAGACUCCUACGGGAGGCAGCAGUGGGGAAUAUUGCACAAUGGGGGAAACCCUGAUGCAGCGACGCCGCGUGAGCGAUGAAGUAUUUCGGUAUGUAAAGCUCUAUCAGCAGGGAAGAAAAUGACGGUACCUGACUAAGAAGCCCCGGCUAACUACGUGCCAGCAGCCGCGGUAAUACGUAGGGGGCAAGCGUUAUCCGGAUUUACUGGGUGUAAAGGGAGCGUAGACGGCGAUGCAAGCCAGAUGUGAAAGCCCGGGGCCCAACCCCGGGACUGCUCUUGGAACUGCGUGGCUGGAGUGCAGGAGGGGCAGGCGGAAUUCCUGGUGUAGCGGUGAAAUGCGUAGAUAUCAGGAGGAACACCGGUGGCGAAGGCGGCCUGCUGGACUGCAACUGACGUUGAGGCCCGAAAGCGUGGGGAGCAAACAGGAUUAGAUACCCGCGUAC
rnacentral:rRNA from 1 species